AUGAGUGAGAAGGCUGAGCAAAUCAUAUGGUUUGUGGAUGACGCAAAUGUCUAUCGUGACAAAUCAAUGAAACAUGUCGAAACAAUUCUACAGAGGAAUGAGGAGCAGGUAGCUAUGUUUCUGAAAAUUGUUGGGCAAUAUCACACCCAUUCCUCUGUAGAAUUUGCAUUGUGGCGAUCCGAAGAGACAGUGAGUAGAAUGGGUGAGCAAAAAGAAGGUGCGAAGACUGAGGUUGCUCGCUCUCGUGAUAAUUACAUGUCAUGGAGUGAUGAUUGUACCAAGUAUAUGCUUGAGUGGUAUAUCGAGAAGCAAAGGGACAAGCCACCAACCUUCAAGUGGAAGGCACAACACCAUCUACAAUGUGCUAAUGAUUUGAAUGACAAGUUUGGAAUUACAGCUACAGCAAAACAAGUUGAUCGACACUUUAGGUCAUUCAAGGAGAAAUGGAAGUGGAUAAAGCUAGCAAAGGGGAGGAGCGGAUAUGGUUUCGAUAAAGUACUUAACAAAUUUAACAUUGACAAGUCAGAGAAAUCACCAAGCAAGCUUGGUAAAAUAAAAUUUAACUACCUUACUCACUCCAUCAAGUUUUAUCAUCUCCUGGAAGAACUGUUUAGUGACUCGUCUCAUGCGGAUGGCUCACUAGCUAUUGAUGUGAAUGAUGCAAUUGAGAAUGUGGAAUCUGAUGGUAGUAGUGAAACGAGCAACCACACAUCCACUGCCGAACAAGGUCUUAGUGAUUCCGACAUGAUUGCGCCCAACAGUCCAGCAGAAGGCACUACUCAAAUCUGA
rnacentral:rRNA from 1 species